ACGGAAGUUCAGUUUAGUUUUCAAAAUUUUAAAAUUCCCUAUGUCCAUAUAACCAGCGAGUUUUUCUAAGCAUGAAUUUUAAAAUAUAUUUGAUUCUUUAUAUCUGAUUUUAUAUUGAUGAAGAUAAGAUUCAUCGAGCUUACAAAUUUGAGUUAACGCAAUAUAUAACUCUUUAUUGCAAGGAAUGGAUCUUAGUUCACCUUUUAUUGAUGUAACAAAUAAAUGUAUAUCAUAACGAGACAAGUUAUGAAAAACUACAGGGAAAAAGGGAUCGCUUAAUCUAAAUUUCUGUUUACCCAACUUAUGAAUAGGACCUACAUAUUGACCUGCAUAGCAAACGCCAUGUUCCUGGUAAUCCUCAUCCCAAAUGUUAAACUGGUAGAUUGGUUUUUUAUAGGACUUCCAGUACAUCUCAUAAAGUCCAUCGACUUUAAUCGUAAGUGCUUGACAAAAUUUUUGGAUACAAUCCGGUCCUGAAAUAACAAAAUCAUAAUGUUUAUGAGUUUAUUACCUUUGCUGGAUUGUGAAAAUAUUUACCACAUCUCAUUAAGAUGAGCAUUGUAUUUAUGUAAAAUAAAAAAUGCUGCACAUUCUGUAUGCCUCUGUACCUCUGUA